AUGUUUGACUUUUACAACUGAUCCUGUGAGAUAUGAAAUUAGUUAACUGUAAUCAUGAGGCCUAAGAGAAUAAUUAACCAACUCAACAGCGGGGGCCAAAUUGUUUUCAGCAGAAGGAGGUGGAUGGUUUUAGUUCAAAAAAUUUUAUGAAAAAGCAAAUCCAUGCUAAACAUCUAACAGCCAGAAAGGUUAGAGUUGAAGUUGUGAACAUGUAUACUUUGACACAUAAACUUCUCUGAGUCUGUGAGGUGUUGAGUCAAAAUUUAGCUUGUUCUUGAACGUGUGCAGCAAACAGAAACUUUCAGUGGUUAAAAAAAAAAAGAAGAAGCUUCCCCUCUGGUAAUUCAGGCACAUCAGAGAGGCUGAGGAGGACACAGAAGAGUAAAGCAGGAGGAAGAUGAGGAGGAAGAGCAGCUGGCCUGGAGUUCAGGAAGAAAGGGGCUCUGGAUGCAGGUUCCUGUUUAUAUCUGUACCUUUACGGAGAAGUGGGAUUGUGGCUUGUUGACCUAAAACAAUUCCCCUCGAGCAGAGAACAGAAGAGCGACAGGAAGACGAGGUCUCGUCUUUGUUUCAUCUCCCAUCUUCUCUGACGGCCAUUAAGCAAGUCACUAUGGUGCAAACCAAACCUGCCUUUGUUACAAGUUUCAUUUAAAACUAUCUUAGUGUGGACGGCAAAAGAGGCAUUUUAAAAGUUGACAAAUAGAUGAAUAUUUUAAGACAGCUUCUCACCUGUUUAAUGCUUCUUCCUUGUCUUGAUUUGGGGCAUUUCUUUCAUUAGAGCAUCCCAAAAAACACAGAACUAACCACAACUUUGAAUGUACACCCCACUACGAGAGAUUCAAACCUACCUUGUCGUCACAUCGUGUCAAACUGGACUACAAAUGCAAAAUUGUGGAAGCUGGUUCUGUCCGAGUUUUCUGAUAUUGUCAGUUCAGCAUGCCCUGUUCUCCUCUACACACCCAUAUAUAUAUCCUGUAUAUAAUCGUUGUUGUAUAUGCUUGUGAAGUAUGCACAUUCAUUGAGCAGGUUUGAAAUCUUUUGGUCAUUCAUCCACUUCAAAGACACGUGCAUGCUUAUAGUACACACACACAAACACACGCAUACAUAUUGUACAGUUCAAAGCAGAGGGGUGUCCAGUCAGUCUGUCCACAUUCAUACAAUCGUGGGAAGCCUGCAGACCCAGUAAACACAAUAAACACCCCCAGAGGUCGCCUUCAAUCGCCUCCCCUUAGACUCAACUCAGGUGGAGAAGCUGAUCACACCCUCCCACGGUAGCCGUGUAGAAAAGAGGAUAAACAAUCCAUCCUCAGGACCCCAGGCGGCUGGGUGGGGGCCAGCAAACAUCCCCUCUCUGUGUCAGGAGGGUUUCAAAGGCAGCUUGAGGCAGUUGGAAGUGGUUUUCAUUUCUCAAACACGUUUCUGCCCUGGUUCAUCAGCGUUUUAGGAAAGAGGUGUGUUUUUAAAGAACAAUGGGGGUUGUUUAAGUUUGCUGAAAAGACUGGGGCCUUAAAUACAAAGCAGAGUCUCCAGUUUCCAGAGACGUUUCUUGCUAAUGC
ensembl:lncRNA